rnacentral:lncRNA from 1 species
AUGAAGGGUGAGCAGAGACUAAAUGUUUUAACAAAAGAUGCUGCCAUCACCCCUGUCACUCAGGAAAUUACAAGGGUUUUAGGAGCUCCAUGUCAGGACCUGGGGACAGAGACAUAAUAUAUAUUUCUUUUUGUAUCACAAUAUCUCACUCCCAAAGACUGCUCCAUCCUUGUUGACUGGCCUCAGUGCGGGGAGUAGAAGGACCAACCUACCUGGCUGCCUGGCCUCCCUGUGGCCGCCAUGGAGCCUCUGCCAGCUUCUUGGCCCCGACACGGUCUCCCCUUCAGGCUCUCCGGGUGCCCUUUUAUCUUUUCAAUCAGAUCCGCUUUCCCCAUGAGUUCCUCACUGUCGUCCUCCUCUUGCAUUGCAGUGAGGCUGUAUUUCAAAUUCAUUCUGUCAGGUCUUGGCAUUUCACGGGAGGAACACAUACUCACUCCAACACCUUGAGACGGAGCUACGGAAAAAAUGAUGUCUAACCUUCUAACCGGUAAUCCCACUUCUAGGAAUUCAUCCUAAGGAAAUAAUUAAGAAUAAAGCUUGGAAUUCCCAUCAUGGCUCAGUGGUAACGAACCCAAGUAGUAUCCAUGAGGAUGACGUUUUGAUCCCUGGCCUCACUCAGUGGGUAAGAAUCUGGCGUUGCCAUGAGCCAUGGUAUAGUCUGCAAACGUGGCUUGGAUCCAGUGUUGUGAUGGCUGUGGUGUAGGCUGGCAGCUACAGUUCUGAUUCGAUCCCUAACCUGGGAAUUUCCAUAUGCCCCAGGUGUGGCCCUAAAAAGACAAAGGAAAGGAAGGAAGGAAGCUUUAACCCCCAGGGGGUUGCAUCACAGUGACCUUUAAUAUGAAAAAGUAAAAGCAAAUACCCAAUUAAAGGGGAUUGAUUAAAUCAGUGGUAACACAUCCAUACAGCGACAGACUAAGUGUGUAAAAAAUAAUAUAGCAGAAUGUAUACGGGCAUGGAAAAAUGUCAGGGAUGAACUAUUAACUACAAAUUUGGGUUACAAAAUUAUUUUAAAGUAUAUUUUGUAAUAAGAAAUGCAUGUGCAAUGGUAGCUCUGCAUGGUGGGAUUUCUGGACGAUUUGUAUUUCUUCUUUUGUGCCCUCAUUUUCCCACACGCUUAGGGAUUGUUGGCAGUAACUGCCACGUGCAAGACUAGUACCACCCUCUGCUCCCCUCCCCCAGGUGUGCUGGAAGAUGGCGUGUCUGCCAAUGGUGUGCCCCGGUCUACAGCCCCAGGUGGAACAUCCAACCCAGAGAAGAAGAUGAGCUGUGGGACCCAGUGCCCGAAUCCCCAGAGCCUCGGCUCAGGCCCCCUGACCCAGAAACAGAAUGGCCUCCGGACUACAGAGGCUAAAAGGGAUGCUAAGCGGACAUCUGCAAAAGAAGUCACCAUUAAUGUCACAGAAAGCAUCCGACAGGUGGACAGAAAUCAAAGAAUCACAAAGAAAUGCAUCAACUAGGAGAGCUGAGGGCCAGAUGGACUUCUUUGGUGCCCUUCGCAUCCUGGAUCCUAUCGAGGAACUUUGAAGAAGCGGGUGGCCCUUGCUGCGUGGGAACGCUGCGGAAUGCCUUGUGAGACCCUGUAUUACCCGGCAGCACUGCUGCCUAAGCAUUGGCAGCCUCCUGUUUAUCGUGUAAACGUAUCGGCAGAGCACUCCCAUAGGGUAUUAAACUGCAAAUGUGCGUUCAGUUUGCCUCUUGCUCUCGGGCAGUCUGGUCUGAUGGAAACGUGGUGAGCUAAAACCACCUGCUGCCGUAGUGUGUGCUGGGUCGGGCAAGCUUAUUCUUUCUUUCUUUUUAAAAUACCACCAACACAAAGUGUACUGUGUUCAGUUACAAGUUGGCUUCCACCCAGUUCUAAACCCUCAUGUAUGAGAAAUCAAGAAAACAGGAAAACGUUGUUAUUCUUGUUUCCUUAGCCCAGUAUGAGAUGGAUUCAGGUCCAAUUUUAUACACACUGACCCCACUGACACCCAUGGCGUGUGCUGGGGCCUCUCUGGGAUACAGCCACACCCACAUCUCUCUCCUCCACCUUCACCCUCCUGGCCCAGGCCAGGGUCCAUGUCAGCCUCUGAAUCAUAGCAUCACAGUCAUGGGCAAUGCAUCCAACCUCGGACGCCCUUGCGGCUCUGCAGACAUUGUGUUUCUCCAGCUUUCCUCUUCCUUUCCUUGUGCUGAGCGUUUUUUCUCUCCAUUCAGGCCAUUUGCAAUUGUUAAUCAAAGACCAGCCACUGCUCACAAGAGGGAGAAGAUCUGAAACGUGUCGGCUUUCUUUUAGCCUCUCCUUGCACACCCAGGACUGUGUCAUUUGGUGUCUGCAAAGGAAUCGAUUUAAGAAGCCGGUACCUGGUGGAUGUGUGUUCACGGGAACAUCAGAUCGCCAUGCAGUGUGUUAAAAAUCAGGCAGCUGAGACGGGAAAAAAUAAGUAAAUAAAUAACCAAUUUUGAUAGGAUUUUCUAGCAUUUCUUUAAACAUGUAAAGGUAGAAGUAUUUUCCUCCAAAGUAAUGUAGCAUGAUUUUUAGAGGACUCUUAACAUGCCUGGGAUUGGGAGAGGGAGGACUAAAGUUGUACCCAAUCAUACUAAUAAACUCCACAUUUAGCAGAA